AUGUCUCGAAUAAAUUAUGGAGUCAUAUCCCUGAUCCCCAAAAUAGUUGGGGCAACGGAUAUUCAUAAAUUCCGCCCCAUCACUGUGAUUAAUGUGUUGGAGCGGAUUUUUGCGAAGGUGUGUGCUUCUCGUCUCUCCCCUGUGGCGUCACAGAUUGCUCAUCCUCUCCAGACCGCGUUCUUAAAGGGCUGGCGUAUUCACGAUGGAAUCCCGACCCUUCACGAAAUUUUCCAUGAGGUUGCCUCUCAUGGCCACAAAGGCGUCUUCCUUAAACUGGAUUUCCAGAAAGCUUAUGAUCGGUUGGAUUGGUCCUUCUUGAGAUUAGUCAUGCAGUGUCGUGGGUUUGAUGAUCGGUGGUGUUCCUGGAUCAUGCAAAUGGUCAUGUCUGGGAACACCGCCAUCAAUAUCAGUGGCUAA
rnacentral:rRNA from 1 species